UCCGUACUUAAAAUUCCUUCAUAUGCAUGACUGCCAAUCCUAGAUCUACACAAUGAUGCGCGCACUUUAUCACUAUAAAAUGUGAUUGUACAUUUGAAUCUAGAAUUGCAAUUUGAGUUAUAUUCCGGGUAAGGGACACACUGGCGAAAACCAAAUGGCGGAUUUUGCAAAGGAGUCUGCUGCAGGUUACCAACAAACUUCAAAAACUAAACACAAAUCAAAGCGCAAGACGGAUUAGCCAAAGCUUUUAGCAAUAUUUUCAAAAUGAUAUGAUCAUGCACUUUGGCUAAUAAUAUUUCGC